CUGUACAGAGCCACAUUUAAUAAGCAGAGAAUGAACAAAGCAGUAUUACUAUAGCUGCACUAGGAGAACGUUAUGAAGCAGGAGGGCCAAAGGGGGAACAGUGCCCCCAUGAAAUGGUAAGUGUGGUGGUGCACAGACCCAGGGGUUUCCUGAGACUAAGUGAACCCUGACCACCACAGAUGCCAGGCUUCCGACUGGACAUUUUAGCUUUUUGUUCAGUGAAAUGAAAAAUUCGGGAUGAGAGAUAAGUAUACAUUUGUAAUCACUAAGAAAUUCCUAAUGAUUUUAAAGUUCUGCUCCUUGCAAUUCUGACCUCUUGGUAAAUGGAAGCUAGGACAAAAUGGCUCUUUUAAAAUGGACUGAAGCUUUCUCCUCCAGUUCUCCAGGGUUAGAGCAGAAUCUGUGUCUAAUGUGUCUCCGGGACAGACCCCUUGGUUUUAGGAGGUAGCCCGUGGGUCUGGGAUCGAUCCUGCUGAUGUGAGUCCAGUGAUCCUCCAGCUUGACCUGGGGUCAUCCUGACAGGACACUCCAUGCACAAUACCUCACAGCAGGCUCCAGGUAUCUGUUUAAUCACAUGAAACGCUGUGGAGGGGAGGUGGGGCAUGUGUCCACAGAAAGGUUUUCAGUUGCUUUCCCUCCAUUAGCACCUAUGUGACUAAUCCCCUCACUGGUAGGUAAGUACUUCUGAAGGGACUUUGGCAUCUCUAACCAAAACCUGAGGCACACACAGAAUUAACAUCAACAUUUAUAUCAUGUCUCAUUAAAAAUAAUUUAACAUACUUUUACUUCAUUUUGUUCCCUCUCCCUUCCAUCCAUUAUAUUGAUCUCAUCUGAAGAGUUUGCCCUCUGUAUCUGCAGGUUCCACACCCAAAGAUUCAAUCAAUCAUUGAUCUAAAAUAUUUGAGAAAAAUAAAAAUAAAAUAACACAACAAUAAAAAAAUACAAAUAAAAAUAUAGUAUAACAAUGAUUUACAUACCAUUUACAGUGUAUUAGGUAUUAUGAGUAAAAUAGAGAUGAUUUAAAGUAUACAGGAGGAUGGUGUAGGUUAUAUGCUAAUACAGUACUACACCAUUUUAUAUCAGAAUUUGAGCAUCUGUGGAUUUUGGUAUUUGUGGGAGUUCCUGGAACCAGUCCCACUGGGGGCACUGAGGGAUGACUACAUGUCAUUCCAGGUAAUUAAUUUUCCAAAUAUCUGCUUAUUUGCACUUCAUAAUAGCCGUCUACUAAUGCGUUUGCUCACAUUGCUUCUUAAAUUUCAACAUUCUUCCUUCUCUUCUUGUUUUUCUUCUUCCUGGAGAACAUAUCCCAGUAAUUCUCUCAGAAAGGUCCAUUUAUUGCUAUUUUAUCCUUGAUGAAUAAGCUGACACCAGAGGCCACAAGUCUCAAAUGGCAAUUUAGUGAAGAACCAUAAUGUAGAAUUAGUGGGAGCCCUGAGCUUGUUUUCCUGCAACUAGACGGUCCUAUCUGGGGGUGACGGGGAACAGUGUCAGAUCAUCAGGCAUUAGAUUCUCAGGAGCACACAACUUAGGUUUCGAAUUUGCAGUUCAUCAUGGGGUUUGUUAUGAGAAUCUAAUCCUCCCACUGACCUGACAGAAGGCAGAGAGCAGGCGGUAAUGUGAGUGAUGGGGAGCAGCUGUAAACACAGAUGAAGCUUCGCUUGCUUGCCUCCUGCUGUGUGGCCUGGUUCCUAACAGGCCACA
rnacentral:lncRNA from 1 species